rnacentral:rRNA from 1 species
GAUGAACGCUAGCGGCAGGCUUAAUACAUGCAAGUCGAGGGGCAGCACGGUUAGCAAUAACUGGUGGCGACCGGCGCACGGGUGCGUAACACGUAUACAAUCUACCUUAAACAGGGGAUAGCCUUUCGAAAGAGAGAUUAAUACCCCGUAAUAAAUUGAACGGCAUCGUUUGAUUUUGAAAGCUCCGGCGGUUUGAGAUGAGUAUGCGUCUGAUUAGCUAGUUGGUGAGGUAACGGCUCACCAAGGCGACGAUCAGUAGGGGAUCUGAGAGGACUAACCCCCACACUGGUACUGAGACACGGACCAGACUCCUACGGGAGGCAGCAGUAAGGAAUAUUGGUCAAUGGAGGCAACUCUGAACCAGCCAUGCCGCGUGCAGGAUGACGGCCCUAUGGGUUGUAAACUGCUUUUAUACAAGAGAAAACCCUGGUACGUGUACCAGGUUGAUAGUAUUGUAAGAAUAAGCAUCGGCUAACUUCGUGCCAGCAGCCGC